GAUGAACGCUGGCGGCGUGCCUAACACAUGCAAGUCGAACGGCCACACGAUAAGCUUUUUCCUCUGCGGGUAGCGGCGGCCGGGCGGGUAACACGUAGAUAGCCAUCUUCUAUUUCUUGGGGGAUAACGGGAAGCCAGUGCUGCUAAUACCUCAUAUAUUGAACCGGUUGCAUCAAGGGUUCAUGACAGCUUUCGUGUCUGUUUGAGAUGGUUUCGCGUCGUAUUAGCUAGUUGGUAAGGUAACGGCGUACCAAGGCGACGAUGCGUAGCUGACCUGAGAGGAUGAUCGGCCACACUGGAACUGAGACACGGUCCAGACUCCUACGGGAGGCAGCAGUGGGGAAUAUUCGGCAAUGGGCGCAAGCCUGAUGGAGCAACGCCGCGUGGGUGAAGAAGGUCUUCGGGUUGUAAAGCCCUUUUAUUGGGAAAGAAAAGGAGCGGGUUAAUAUAUGGAUGUUUUGACGGUACCUAAACAAGAAGCAACGGCUAACUACGUG
rnacentral:rRNA from 1 species